GACUACGUUUACAGCCCCGCGAAGGAGGUGCUAAUGAACAUUGUUCAGUGCGUCUGUGUUCAGUUUCUUCCAAAUUGAAUGGUAUUGUGAGCUUCCAUAGUUUCCCGGUCGAUGUAGAGCUCAGAAAAAGGUGGUUGGUGGCAGUACGUCGUGACAACUUUACUGUCACCAAACACACAAAGAUGUGUAGUACACAUUUCGUCGAGUGACUUUGUUGAGGGAGAAAUUGGGGGGCAACAAUAUCUAAAAAGAGGUGUUGUUCCUACAGUCUUGGCGUGGAACUGGCACAUUCAAAAGAGACCUGGUGUUUGGGAAAGAAGACUGAAACCUCCUUCUCCGACUGAGGAGGAUGAAGAACAAGGUGCGCUGCCUAUGGACUGUGCCGUCUCUGAUCCGGUCCAGACACAUGAUUACUGUGCAGUCCCUGAACCCACAGCCCUGGACAUGGCCUUAAUGGAAAACCAUGAGCACGUAAGAGAAAUUGAGGAGCUUCGAGCCAAGCUGGAUAAACUGAUCGUCCAACACGGCUUUGGUCUACAGCGAUUUGCUGGUUCUGACGAGGAUAUACGUUUUUACACAAGAUUUGCAAGCUACACCCACCUGAUGGCCUUCUGGCACUUGAUUGAGCGGGCAGCAGAGACCAGGUUUAUAAGAGUCACAAAUACCAAUUCAUCUGAAACAAGUGUUACUCUAAGAAAACUGGACUAUCACUUGGGCCAACUCUACUGUCUGCUUGGAGCAGCACGGAUAUGGAUCCCCAAGAAACCAUCAAAGCCCAC